GACAAACGCUGGCGGCGUACCUAAGACAUGCAAGUCGAACGGGUGCCUGUUCUUCGGAACGGGUUGCUAGUGGCGGAUGGGUGAGUAACGCGUAGGAACCUAUCGCACAGUGGGGGAUAACGCUGGGAAACCGGCGCUAAUACCGCAUGUGAUCAGUGAUGAAGAAAGCGAGUAAUCGCGCUGUGUGAGGGGCCUGCGUCCGAUUAGCUUGUUGGUGGGGUAAAGGCCUACCAAGGCGACGAUCGGUAGCUGGUCUGAGAGGAUGGUCAGCCACACU
rnacentral:rRNA from 1 species